AGCGAACGCUGGCGGCAGGCUUAACACAUGCAAGUCGAGCGGGCAUCCUUGUGGUGUCAGCGGCAGACGGGUGAGUAACGCGUGGGAACGUGCCCUUCGGUUCGGAAUAACUCCGGGAAACUUGAGCUAAUACCGGAUACGUGCGAGAGCAGAAAGGUUUAUCUGCCGAAGGAUCGGCCCGCGUCUGAUUAGCUAGUUGGUGAGGUUACGGCUCACCAAGGCGACGAUCAGUAGCUGGUCUGAGAGGAUGAUCAGCCACACUGGGACUGAGACACGGCCCAGACUCCUACGGGAGGCAGCAGUGGGGAAUAUUGGACAAUGGGGGCAACCCUGAUCCAGCCAUGCCGCGUGAGUGAUGACGGCCUUAGGGUUGUAAAGCUCUUUUCUCCGGGACGAUAAUGACGGUACCGGAGGAAUAAGCCCCGGCUAACUUCGUG
rnacentral:rRNA from 1 species